rnacentral:rRNA from 1 species
CCAACCUACCGGUUAUUCCGGGAUAGCCUUUCGAAAGAAAGAUUAAUACCGGAUAGUAUAACGAGAAGGCAUCUUUUUGUUAUUAAAGAAUUUCGAUAACCGAUGGGGAUGCGUUCCAUUAGUUUGUUGGCGGGGUAACGGCCCACCAAGACAUCGAUGGAUAGGGGUUCUGAGAGGAAGGUCC